rnacentral:rRNA from 1 species
UACGUAGGGUGCAAGCGUUGUCCGGAAUUAUUGGGCGUAAAGAGCUCGUAGGCGGUUCGUCGCGUCGGCUGUGAAAACCCGGAGCUCAACUCCGGGCCUGCAGUCGAUACGGGCGGACUUGAGUGUUGCAGGGGAGACUGGAAUUCCUGGUGUAGCGGUGAAAUGCGCAGAUAUCAGGAGGAACACCGGUGGCGAAGGCAGCUCGCUGGGACGGUACUGACGCUGAGACGACGAAGCGUGGGGAGCGAACAGG